rnacentral:rRNA from 1 species
UACAGAGGGGGCAAGCGUUGUUCGGAAUUACUGGGCGUAAAGGGCGCGUAGGCGGCCUGUUAAGUCGAACGUGAAAUCCCCAGGCUCAACCUGGGAACUGCGUCCGAUACUGGCAGGCUUGAAUCCGGGAGAGGGAUGCGGAAUUCCAGGUGUAGCGGUGAAAUGCGUAGAUAUCUGGAGGAACACCGGUGGCGAAGGCGGCAUCCUGGACCGGUAUUGACGCUGAUGCGCGAAAGCCAGGGGAGCAAACGGG